UGGUGGCAAGGUUCCUCUCCAGGAGAGGCUGGGGACGUAGUCUGACCCACUUUUCUGCCGCAGAAGAGGGAGCCCUGGUGCCCCGACCCCAAACCCGGUGUCGUUGGCCUGCCUUGAGGAGAGGGGUGCGGGCGCUGGGGCGGGCAGGGUGCCGGGCGGCCUGGAGCUGGGCUGGCUGCGGCCUGGCCUGGGGCAGCCUCACCCGUGCAGGCAGCAGGGCCAGGGCUGGCGCUGGCCGGGCUGGAGGAGCUCCCAGGUGCCAACAUGGUUGGUAAACGCAGCUGAACUUCUGCAGGGACGCUGUGGUGCAGGGCAGCCUGCCGCGGACACUGCCCACCUCGUCCUCGAGGCUGCAGCUCCUCUCCCUCAGCUGCUGCUGGAUGGGGCCCUGUGCCUUCUCUCGUGCUUUUCUGCGCUUCUGCAGGAAGGCUGUGUGCCGUCCGUCGGGCCAAGCAUCAGAACCCACUGCUGGGAGACCCCCCCUCCACCAGCACGUCAGCUGCUGAGAGCGAUACCGUGCAUUAUCGACGUGCUUCUGAAUUCCGACUUGCCUCUCCUAAUGCAACGUACCUGCAGCCUUGUUCGGAGCAGAUGCAAUUGGGCAGCAGUGCCGUGCUCCUGCUCGCAGCAGAACUGCAGCUUCGCUCCAUGCAGAGGCCGCUGGACUUCUGCCACCAGGCAGACUUCUGAUAGCAAUCCUUCUGGCAGGGCCUCGCGGGGCUGCGGCUCAAGCACGUGGGAAUUAAACUGCCCAGCCAAGGCAUGGAUGCGAUCUCCUGGCAGCGACCUGAGCGGAGCAGCGGGUGACAAGCUCCUCCUGCCACCACCACGGGCACACGACCUCGCCUCGCAGGGGAUUUGUCCUGCUUGCGUGCUCUGCUGGAACAGGCCUUGGGUUUUAAUUCACCUGGCUCACCCACAGAUGAAAACAUACCGUAUUGUGGCAGAUUUGCUGGGUGACCUGAUGCUGCCCAGAGCCAGUACCAACGGCCAAGACAUCCCUCACGAGCUCAGUUCCCUCCUGUGAAAUGGCAUUGCCCUUCAUCUCCGAGACACGGUGAGUUUGUAAUUGUGAGAUGCAGGGAAAUGAGAGCUGCGAC
rnacentral:lncRNA from 1 species